GGAAUCCUGAAGAGGACCUAAUUGGAUUGGAUGAUGACAGUGACAUAGUCGUUGUAACACUAAAUUAUGACAACACUGAAGAAGUUGUACAGGACGAUCUCAGCAGUCCCUUUGGACACGGUUCCCCGAUACUGUUGCCUUCAGCCAGGAGUCUCUUCUCAUCACAAAUGCAAACCAGUAAUAUGGAGGCAGGACAAACUGGCCAGGACUCUGGCUUGAUUCCACCCGAAGAUUCUCACCCAAGUUCAAGCGGUCUACUGCCCCAAUCUGUUUCAGCUGGUAACUCAGAAAAUCUAGCAAACCAUCUACAUGUGUCAAUUCGCAGGAUCAAGGUUGUGGAAGAUCUUUUGGCUGUGUUUAUGGAAAACAACCUUUUGAAUCAGACUUUAAAAAUGGAGUUUGUGAAUGAAAGAGCAAUCGAUG